GCCGCGUUGGCGUAGUGGUAGCGCGUCUCACUUGUAUACUUCCGGUAUUUAUAUGCAAUGAGAAGGUCACUCGUUCAAUCCGGGUACGUGGCA